rnacentral:rRNA from 1 species
UACGUAGGGUGCAAGCGUUGUCCGGAAUUAUUGGGCGUAAAGAGCUCGUAGGCGGUUUGUCGCGUCGGCUGUGAAAUCCCGAGGCUCAACCUCGGGCCUGCAGUCGAUACGGGCAAACUAGAGUGUGGUAGGGGAGACUGGAAUUCCUGGUGUAGCGGUGAAAUGCGCAGAUAUCAGGAGGAACACCGGCGGCGAAGGCGGGUCUCUGGGCCAUAACUGACGCUGAUGCACGAAAGCUGGGGGAGCAAACAGG